rnacentral:lncRNA from 1 species
UUAAGCAAAAGAAUUUUCAUAGUGUCUAGCCAAGUAUUAUACAGCUCCUUACUUCAGCAGGGAGCUCUCACAACUCCUGCUCCUCAAACAGAACUCCUUGUUUUUAUAAUACAAAAGACAAUGAACAAACAUUUAUUGUGUAUUACACACAACUUUCAUUUUUUUCCUCUACUUAGCAUUCCUAGUCCCUGCUGUGGGGAAUAAUUGCCUCAUGUGACCUGAAAAUUAAACUGAUAUUCACAUUUUAAAAAAAGGUACAGUGCUGAAGAAGCUUCCAGGGUGGAGUGUAGCUGCACUACAGAAAAGAUCCUGAGGCCUCAAGCCUUAGAUGCUGAUCGCACUGUGAAACCGGGCAUGCUGACUCUGAGAGGAACAGCAGUAUGGAGUGCAGAGCAGAGGCGCUGUGGCUAAGCUCUGUGACGAGAUGGGAACUUAGUUGUUCUUGUGUAUAACCGAGACUGAUUUCCAGCGGAAUAACAAUGCUAUUAACGGGGUGCUCUCAGACCCCAAAAGCAGAUACACUUGCCUUGGAAAGACCCUGAAAUGGAGCAGAAGAAAUGAUAGGGAUGGACAGUUCUACCUCAGGGCCACCGAAUGUAUUUGGGCAACUUCCAGAAGAAAUUUUUGAGCAAUUCCAGCUUUCAGAAAAGGUGUUCGUGUUCCUCUUGCAAUAUGCAAUGAGAGAGGACCAAGUAUACCCGGACCUUCUCGAUUUUUUUUUUUUAAAAAAAGGCAACACAGAGGCAAACCUCUGUCCUAAAUUGUGUAAACGCAUAAAGCUGUGAGUGGCGUUUUUUUUUGUUUUGUUUUGUUUUGUUUUAGCUCGCACAUCAGCGUUGCUCCGUGAAGCUGUGCCUGCUGUUCUGCUUCCGCGCACGCGCGCAGCCAGGUGGCUCGCCUAAGGCGGGGGAACCGGGCGGCGCCGCAGGACCCCUGCGCGCGGCGAAAUGGCGGCGCCCUUCUCUGAAGCGGGGCAGGGCUCGGGAUGCCACGCCACAUCGAAGCGCGGUGCCUCGACGAGGGCAGAAGCAGCUCCCCGCCGCUAGGACCCCUGCGAGGUUUGUUGCCGAGUGAGGGUGGUACGGCAGGUAAACUGAGGAAGGCUGCAGCUGGCGUGCUGCAGUCACAGGUUGUCCAGCACAAUCAUGAAAAUGUCAUCUUUUUACCAAGAAUGAUGAGAACUGAUGCAUCUGCCCUGUGUUUGGAUAGAAAAUGUCACAGAUUUAAAGACGGUGUGUAUUAAAUGAAGGAUGAGAAGAAACACCUUUUUCGGGUACUUGCACUCCUCUUCUUCAGCUCGUGCAGAAGGCUGACAGCCUGCCUCACUCUCAUUAGUGCUGUCCCACCAGCUCCUUUAGGAGCUCAGCACUGCGUUCCUGCUGCAGUCUUCCCAAUCCCCUCAUUUCUACGCUGCAACACUACCAUCCACUAGAAGUCAGGUAGGAUCUGAAGACCUUUGACACUGCUAAACGAUCAAACCUCAGCUGUCAGUUUUAGCCCUUUGUAUUCCAGUUGUUUGCUUUGCUGGGCGAUGGUUUCAUUUUUUUAUUUUGUAAUAUGUUCUUUGUAGAGGUUAUUUUAAGCAGACAAGUAGGUAGCCUCCUUCCUUCAGUGGAUUUGUGCGGGUUUUGGCUGAGCUUUGCACAUCUGAACAAUUGCCCAUUGGUUGUUCUGGUCUUGACACAUCUCUAAAAACUUUGCCUCGCCUCUCCUCUUUGUGUAUUAAGAUGCACAUUCGUGCAAAAAUAAUGUAUGCUUAAAGAUGCCCAGUGGUUAUGGGGCAUUUUCAGCGUUUCACAUAUAAGGCUUCAUGUUUACUUAACUACUUAAGUGUAGUCCUGGCUUUAAGCGUAGGUGUAGCUAAUGAUUGUUACUCAAGUGGUUAUAAAGUUUAAAAUGUUUGUUUGUAUAUAUAUAGAUGAAACUGAGUCUGUGGAGUAAAAGACUUUUCUGCUUGUUGCAUAUACUCAUGUAUCAGCAGGCUCAUAUGCAAGCUGAUCGAAACUGGAUGCCAAACUGUGCUUUUUUUGUUGCCUGGAAUAUGCAAUCUGUGCGCCUUGGGUGUACCUUGUCUAUUAACUAUCUUUCACAUUGUGCCACCCCAUUAAUAUGAGUGGAUGUACCCAGCACCACCUUGGGGCUACAUAGAACGUGGAAAUUUCUAGUAUGUUAAUGUUACUCUGUUAACAAAACUGACUUACUAGCUGCUUGCUGUUUCUGUGGUUGUUUUUUUGUUUGUUUGUUUGUUUUGUUAUUCUUUUCAGUAGUCUCCCCAAAAGAUUUUGUGGACAUGUUGUGUAUCUUUUCUAUUCUUACAGGAUUCAUUUGUCAGGAAAGAUGACCGUGAAAUCCGAGGGUUGUGGACAACCAUCUACCAGAUGGUUGUUGCAGAUGCCUUUGAUCACAUUAUUUGUCGUUUUAGCUUGCUCUUUCCUUUAUCUUGAGUUGAACUUUUUUUGCAGUGCUAUGUUUGCAGUGGUAAUAUUGCUGCUGAGGUGCAUUUAAUUAAAAGCGAUUUUAACGGUAAUUGUGGAUUCACUGAGUGUGGCUUUGUAUAAUGACUCCCAUGAUCAUAACAUUUUUUUCCAUUGUCACAGAUACGAGAAAAGUUCUUUCCAGUGAGAUGGGGAAGGAAUUAAUUAUACCUCUGCCUCAUCCUGUGAGACCAGAAGACAUGGAGUAAUUGUAAGCUGCGAUUCUCAGGAGACAUACUAAUAGUCUCGGGUUCCUUCUCUGCCUGCCCCCCAAGGCCUUUGGGAUGAGAAAUCUUAGGCUUUAUGUUUUUCCCUGUGAAAUACUGUUGUGUUAAAGGUGUAGCUGACUAACUGUUAUGGGUCUGGUCGGAUUCAGGUUACUGAGCUGUCAUGGUCUCAUGGUCACGGAUUCACCUAUAACGUAGCAUGUCCUUGAUCUAGUCGCGUUCAGUAAGUACAAUCACAGCUAGGAACAAUGCAAUGAAGGGCAGUUUAGUGGGGGGGGGUGGGGGGAGGGGGAGGGGGAGGGGGGGGCAGCAAGGGCAGCAAUGGUGGGGGUAGGCCUGUGCUGUCUCUGCUCCCUGGGCCAGGUAUGCCAGGACUGGUCUGUGCAGAAGGAGUGAUGGGCGAGUGUGACCUGGGCGGUGGCUGCUGUGGAGGAGCAGGUGAGGGAGAGUCUGGGGCUCCCUGGUACGAGGGAUGGAAGGGUGUUGAGGAGGCUGGGUCCUGCGGGAUAGGCGGCUGUGUUAACAUUCACAAAGGCACAUAACCACAACGUGAUUAUAUAUGAAAGUGCUUUUAUUUGGUGCUGGAAGUUAGGGGCAUGUCUGCCCAAAUACAACUUUGUUCGAUUUGCUCACACAGCAAACAUUUAUAGAAUUCAGAAACAUACAUUUGCAUAAUAUAAUCAUCAGUUAUCUUCAUAUUCAUUGGAUAAAUGUAUAUUUCAUCUUCUAUAAUCACAGCCCCUUUAUUAAUCUGAUUGGUCCCUUUACUUAUCUCUAUUAACCUUUUUCAGUUACUUAGAUACUUUACUGAUUACAUUGGAUUUCAAUGGUAUUUACCUUAGUUUCCAAACUAUUCAUUCACCUAGCAAUAAUCUCACAGAUACCCAUAAUACUUAUCUAAAUAAACAUUUAUGGUAUGCAUUGCUAGUAGCAAUACUGGUUUCACUACCAAGACACCUGCUGCUAUGUUAAUGUUUACCAAGAGCUGGGAUAGGGAAAGCUGCAGGGGGUAGGCGGCUGGUUAGGA